rnacentral:rRNA from 1 species
GAUUCUGGCUCAGGAUGAACGCUAGCUACAGGCUUAACACAUGCAAGUCAGGGGCAGCAUGGGAGUUGCUUGCAAGUUCCUGAUGGCGACCGGCGCACGGGUGAGUAACGCGUAUCCAACUUCCCCUUAGUAGGGCAUAGCCCGGUGAAAAUCGGAUUAAUAUCCUAUGUUCUUCACAGCAGACAUCUAACGUGAAGCAAAGGUUCACCGCUAAGGGAUGGGGAUGCGUCUGAUUAGGUAGUAGGCGGGGUAACGGCCCACCUAGCCUUCGAUCAGUAGGGGUUCUGAGAGGAAGGUCCCCCACAUUGGAACUGAGACACGGUCCAAACUCCUACGGGAGGCAGCAGUGAGGAAUAUUGGUCAAUGGGCGAGAGCCUGAACCAGCCAAGUAGCCGUGCAGGAUGACGGCCCUAUGGGUUGUAAACUGCUUUUAUAUGGGGAUAAAGUUCACCACGUGUGGUGUUUUGUAGGUACCAUAUGAAUAAGGACCGGCUAAUUCCGUGCCAGCCGCGGC